rnacentral:rRNA from 1 species
UACGGAGGGUGCAAACGUUGCUCGGAUUUACUGGGCGUACAGGGAGCGUAGGCGGUUGGGUAAGCCCUCCGUGAAAUCUCCAGGCUUAACCUGGAAAGUGCAGAGGGGACUGCUCGGCUAGAGGAUGGGAGAGGAGCGCGGAAUUCCCGGUGUAGCGGUGAAAUGCGUAGAGAUCGGGAGGAAGGCCGGUGGCGAAGGCGGCGCUCUGGAACAUUUCUGACGCUGAGGCUCGAAAGCGUGGGGAGCAAACAGG